GACAUAAACAGGCUCUUGAGCCAUUUCAUGAGGCAAAGGCAUCCUCGGAUGAUGCAUAUCAAGUACAUGAGGAGGGACCAUAGGCUGACCAAAAGGUGCCAGUAUUCCACCAUAGUAUGGGUCAACAUACAGAUUUGGAGCACAUGCCAUGGAGUGCGCAACAAGUUCAAACUGUGGGGGUUGUGUUAUGCACCCAUCACCCUUUGGAGGUAUGGCAGAUGCCAUUGGCUGUAAAUUCUGAUCUACUUGCACAUAACUCCCAUCUAACUCUGAAUGCUUAGGUAUGGUACUUUGUGAUUUUUCAGGAGUAUCAUCAGCUUCCUCGUUGGAUCCACCAUCAGACUGUGAUCGGCCAUCCACAGCUUGUUCGGGUGAUGGUGAAUCUGAUGGACUUCCCCGCAUCAGUCCAAGAGAAACAGGAUUAUUACCAGCAGUAUUCCACCAAGGUUCUAAAGUGGAAUUAGGAACAUUAUAAGUUCUGGCUUCCCCACAAUUUGCACUUUUGGACUCUGAUUGCAUGCUUCUCUAGUUCUAGUAAGUUUAGUUCUUCGUACAAUGUUCAGGUGAAAGGGAAGAGGCAGAAGAGAGAGUAGAGUGAACAG
rnacentral:misc_RNA from 1 species